GCGGAAGUGGCGAAAUUGGUAGACGCACCAGAUUUAGGUUCUGGCGCCCAGGCGUGAGAGUUCGAGUCUCUCCUUCCGCA
rnacentral:tRNA from 1 species